UACUGUAACUUUUACAGAAUACAGAACCCAAUCUCCAUCAAAAUCCCAAAUCCCCAGAGCCGCCUCCUCUCUCAAAAACCCUAAAUUGCUAAAUCUCAAAAAACCUAGAAACCAAAUCGUGUCAACUGGAUGGGCGAAGGGCGAUCUCUUGCGAGCGUCGCCACAUCAUUCCGCUCAAAAACUGGGUUCCCUGUUCGUCCUCGAUGCCCAGAGCUCCUCCGUGAAAUCGCCGGCGAACCAUCGUCUCCAUGAAGGGUUUAGCAAUUGGACUACCAUCCGCGGAUCAUUGCAUGCAAGAAAUCAGGAAGUAAGCUAUCGGUUUUAAGUGGGCAGAUACUGCAAACAAGGUUGUAUAAGGCUCAAGAAACAAGAGGUACAGAGAUGUUUAAACUUGUGUAACUGACGGUGAAUCCUCUGUCCAUUUUGAGAAGAAAAUGAAGGUACUCGGACUGAAUAAGUGAACAUUGACAUCUCAUUCAGUGUUUUGGAUUUCCAAGGAGGUGAAUGGUACAAUUUGACUGCAUCAAGCUGAAUAAACCGCCUCCGAAAUCAUUUUAUCUCCCAUGCAAGCGAUCAAGUAAAGAUGGAGAACCAGACACUACUCCAGCUUUUUGUGAUGAAUCAAGCAGCAGACAUCCCAAGAAAGCUAGGUGUAGCUAGCAGAGAAGAGUGAUUUUGACCUAAACAGCAUCUAUGAUUCUAAUUUAUGGGGAGGAGACAUGAGACCUCUCAAAAGAAGAGUUAAAAGACAAAGCAAGUUUGAGACUCUCUCUAAUUUUUACAUAUUCCACAUGGAUUUACCUAACUCUAAUUUGUAUAUUUCAUUUAUUCUGUUUAUAUUCUAUAUUGGUCAUUAACUUUUCUGCUCCUGUUAGCAAUAAUAUUAUUUUCAUUUUUGUAAGCAUUUUAAUUAGCCUGACAUUUCCCCUCAGCUCCUUGAUGCUUUCUAAAGCUUUUCUUUUUGUCUUACUUUUUUUUAGAUUAAUCCUUUAGCUGUACAUAUACCCAUGUCUUGUUAGUGUCUAGUUCAUCAUUUAGCGCUUUCUUUGGUCACUGCCGUCUCAUAAUUUUUUGUUUCUCGGAAUUAGUGUUAAUCUUGAAAUUUCUUU